UGUCAGAAAUCAGCUGUGAAGUUCUGGACUCAGCUUUGAAGAACAACCCGUCCAGACUGACAGAAUUGGACCUGAGCAACAACAACCUGCAUGAUUCAGGAUUUCUUCAUCUGUGUGGUUUUCUGGAGAGUCCAGACUGCAGACUGCAGACUCUGAGGUUGAUUGGCUGCAGAUUGUCAGAGAUUAGCUGUGAAGCACUGGGCUCAGCUCUGAAGAAAAAUGCGUCUUCCAAUCUUACAGAAUUGGACCUGAGCUGGAAUAAGCUGCAGGAUUCAGGAUUUCUUCAUCUGUGUGGUUCUCUGAAGAGUCCAGACUGCAGACUGCAGACUUUGAGGUUAAUCAACUGCAGUUUGUCAAAGAUCAGCUGUGGUGCUCUGGUCUCAACUCUGAAUUUAAACCCGUCGCACCUGACAGAACUGGACCUGAGGAACAACAGCCUUCAGUCUUCAGAUAUUCAGCAGCUCCAGGAUCUGGUCAGAAGUCCAAACUCCAAACUGCAGACUCUGAGCUGGGAGGGAGCGAUGUGGUUUCUCUGAUAUUCCUUGUGGUGGAGCAGAGAGUAGCAUCAUCCUCAUCAUCUGGUCUGCAGAAAUGUUGUGACUGGGAGGUGGAGAGCAGAGUGGUGGAGGAAUCAGUGGAAGUGUCAGAGCUGAAGCAUGAACUCUUUUUUUUUGGACAUGUUAGACAUUACAAACCAUGGCAUCGGACAUUACAAAGCAUGACAUUAGAUAUGUAUAUAUGUGAAGUCAAAAACAAUUCAAUUUAAGGAUUAAUAAAAGAGAAAGGCAGAAAAAAUAAAAAUACAAAAUAAA